UCCCUAACAGUCUAGUGGUUAAGACUCUGUGUUCCCAUUGCAGAAGGCACAAGUUUGAUUCCUGUUCAGAGAA
rfam:TPA: Bos taurus chromosome 3, whole genome shotgun sequence.